AACGAACGCUGGCGGCAGGCCUAACACAUGCAAGUCGAGCGCCCCGCAAGGGGAGCGGCAGACGGGUGAGUAACGCGUGGGAAUCUACCCAUCCCUACGGAACAACUCAGGGAAACUGGAGCUAAUACCGUAUACGCCCUUCGGGGGAAAGAUUUAUCGGGGAUGGAUGAGCCCGCGUUGGAUUAGCUAGUUGGUGAGGUAAUGGCUCACCAAGGCGACGAUCCAUAGCUGGUCUGAGAGGAUGAUCAGCCACACUGGGACUGAGACACGGCCCAGACUCCUACGGGAGGCAGCAGUGGGGAAUAUUGGACAAUGGGCGCAAGCCUGAUCCAGCCAUGCCGCGUGAGUGAUGACGGCCCUAGGGUUGUAAAGCUCUUUCAACGGUGAAGAUAAUGACGGUAACCGUAGAAGAAGCCCCGGCUAACUUCGUGCCAGCAGCCGCCGUAACAC
rnacentral:rRNA from 1 species